ACCCGUUCCCAUCCCGAACACGGAAGUUAAGCUCUUCAGCGCCGAUGGUACUGCACGGGUGACUGUGUGGGAGAGUAGGACGCCGCCGGGA
rnacentral:rRNA from 1 species